CGGUAAUUCCAGCUCCAAUAGCGUAUACUAAAGUUGUUGCAGUUAAAAAGCUCGUAGUUGGAUUUCUGCGGGGACGGAGCGGCCGGUCGCAACUUGCGACUCGAGCUAGCGCUUUCCCCGCAUCCUGCCGCGAACCGUGCUACCAUUAGCUUGGUGGCGCUGGGGAUCGGCUCGAUUACUUUGAGAAAAAUAGAGUGUUCAAAGCAGGCCACACGCCUUGAAUAAGUUAGCAUGGAAUAAUGACUAAGGACUUCGGUCCUAUUUUGUUGGUGUUCGGGACUGAAGUAAUGAUUGAUAGGGACAGUUGGGGCGGUCUGUAUUCCAAAGCGAGAGGUGAAAUUCUUAGACCUUCGGAAGACAAACAGCUGCGAAAGCGUUCCGCAAGGAUGUUCCCUUUGAUCAAGAACGAAAGUUGGGGGAUCGAAGACGAUCAGAUACCGUCGUAGUCUCAACUAUAAACUAUACCAGCUAGGGAUCGGUCAACGUUUAAUCAUUCGACUUGAUCGGCACCUUAUGAGAAAUCAAAGCAUCUGGGUUCCGGGGGGAGUAUGGUCGCAAGGCUGAAACUUAAAGGAAUUGACGGAAGGGCACCACCAGCCGUGGAGCCUGUGGCUUAAUUUGACUCACCACGGGAAAACUUACCAGGUCCAGACAUAGUAAGGAUUGAUAGAUUGAUAGCUCUUUCUUGAUUCUGUGGGUGGUGGUGCAUGGCCGUUCUUAGUUGGUGGAGUGAUUUGUCUGGUUAAUUCCGUUAACGAACGAGACCCCAGCCUGCCAAAUAGCGCGGCUGAGCUUUGCUCGGUGCGAGCUUCUUAGAGGGACUAUGAUGCGCGAUAGCACAUGGAAGUCUGGGGCAAUAACAGGUCUGUGAUGCCCUUAGAUGUUCUGGGCCGCACACGGGCUACACUGGCGCCUGCAACGAGCAUAUCAGCUGGCCCGAGAGGGUCUUGGCUAAUCUUUUGAACCGGCGCCGUGCUUGGGAUUGACCAUUGCAAUUGUUGGUCAUGCAACGAGGAAUGCCUUGUAAACGCGAGUCAUCAGCUCGCAUUGAAUACGUCCCUGCCCUUUGUACACACCGCCCGUCGCUCCUACCGAUGAAUGUUCCGAUGAAAUUUUCGGAGAGCGCCAGAGAACGGGGCUCCGCCUUGCAGAUCUGGAGGCUCAAAGUCACUUAAAUCUGAACAUUUCGAGGAAGGAGAAGUCGUAACAAGGUAACC
rnacentral:rRNA from 1 species